rnacentral:rRNA from 1 species
AGAACGAACGCUGGCGGCAUGCCUAACACAUGCAAGUCGAACGAGACCUUCGGGUCUAGUGGCGCACGGGUGCGUAACGCGUGGGAAUCUGCCCUUGGGUUCGGGAUAACAGUUGGAAACGACUGCUAAUACCGGAUGAUGACUUCGGUCCAAAGAUUUAUCGCCCAGGGAUGGGCCCGCGUAGGAUUAGCUUGUUGGUGAGGUAAAGGCUCACCAAGGCGACGAUCCUUAGCUGGUCUGAGAGGAUGAUCAGCCACACUGGGACUGAGACACGGCCCAGACUCUACGGAGGCAGCAGUAGGGAAUAUUGGACAAUGGG